CACUGACUCGUGCAUUCGACCAGUCAUCAGCAGCAGAUCAAGCAGCACGGUAUUUCAAGUCUGAAACAGCAGCCGGGAAAAUGCCUCUGCUGAGCUUGGAAGAAAUUUCAAUAUCAAAAAUUGUGGAGAAUAUUGACAUCUGCAGGAAAUAUUUGAGGAAGUUCGUAGCACCACCGAUGCUUCAAAAGCUGCUUGAGGAAGUGUUGAAGGACGGGAAUACCGAUUACGAACAGAAAUGGCAGGCUUUGCCGCACUUACUCAGCUGGAAAACCGAAAAUUUCGAAACUGGAGUGUUGUCAAAAC